rnacentral:rRNA from 1 species
UACAGAGGUCCCAAGCGUUGUUCGGAUUCACUGGGCGUAAAGGGUGCGAUAGGCGGUCGGGUAAGUCUGAUGGUGAAAUCUCACAGCUUAACUGUGAAACUGCAUUGGAUACUAUCCGAGCUCGAGGAAUGGAGGGGAGACUGGAAUUCUCGGUGUAGCAGUGAAAUGCGUAGAUAUCGAGAGGAACACCAGUGGCGAAGGCGAGUCUCUGGACAUUUCCUGACGCUGAGGCACGAAAGCCAGGGGAGCAAACGGG